rnacentral:rRNA from 1 species
UACAGGGGGGGCAAGCGUUGUUCGGAAUUACUGGGCGUAAAGGGUCUGUAGGUGGCCAACUAAGUCAGACGUGAAAUCCCUCAGCUUAACUGGGGAACUGCGUCUGAUACUGGAUGGCUUGAGUGCAGGAGAGGAAUGCGGAAUUCCAGGUGUAGCGGUGAAAUGCGUAGAUAUCUGGAGGAACACCGGUGGCGAAGGCGGCAUUCUGGACUGUAACUGACACUGAGAGACGAAAGCCAGGGGAGCAAACGGG